rnacentral:rRNA from 1 species
AUUGAACGCUGGCGGCAGGCUUAACACAUGCAAGUCGAGCGGGGGAAGGUAGCUUGCUACCGGACCUAGCGGCGGACGGGUGAGUAAUGCUUAGGAAUCUGCCUAUUAGUGGGGGACAACAUCUCGAAAGGGAUGCUAAUACCGCAUACGUCCUACGGGAGAAAGCAGGGGAUCUUCGGACCUCGCGCUAAUAGAUGAGCCUAAGUCGGAUUAGCUAGUUGGUGGGGUAAAGGCCUACCAAGGCGACGAUCUGUAGCGGGUCUGAGAGGAUGAUCCGCCACGCUGGGACUGAGACACGGCCCAGACUCCUACGGGAGGCAGCAGUGGGGAAUAUUGGACAAUGGGGGGAACCCUGAUCCAGCCAUGCCGCGUGUGUGAAGAAGGCCUUAUGGUUGUAAAGCACUUUAAGCGAGGAGGAGGCUACUUUAGUUAAUACCAAGAGAUAGUGGACGUUGCUCGCAGAAUAAGCACCGGCUAACUCUGUGCCAGCCGCCGCGGUAA